rnacentral:rRNA from 1 species
GAUGAACGCUGGCGGCGUGCCUAAUACAUGCAAGUCGAGCGAACAGACGAGGAGCUUGCUCCUCUGACGUUAGCGGCGGACGGGUGAGUAACACGUGGAUAACCUACCUAUAAGACUGGGAUAACUUCGGGAAACCGGAGCUAAUACCGGAUAAUAUAUUGAACCGCAUGGUUCAAUAGUGAAAGACGGUUUUGCUGUCACUUAUAGAUGGAUCCGCGCCGCAUUAGCUAGUUGGUAAGGUAACGGCUUACCAAGGCGACGAUGCGUAGCCGACCUGAGAGGGUCAUCGGCCACCCUGGAACUGAGACACGGUCCAGACUCCUACGGGAGGCAGCAGUAGGGAAUCUUCCGCAAUGGGCGAAAGCCUGACGGAGCAACGCCGCGUGAGUGAUGAAGGUCUUCGGAUCGUAAAACUCUGUUAUUAGGGAAGAACAAAUGUGUAAGUAACUAUGCACGUCUUGACGGUACCUAAUCAGAAAGCCACGGCUAACUACGUG